UAAUGUCUGGGAAACUGCCUGAUGGAGGGGGAUAACUACUGGAAACGGUAGCUAAUACCGCAUAACGUCGCAAGACCAGAGAGGGGGACCUUCGGGCCUCUUGCCAUCGGAUGUGCCCAGAUGGGAUUAGCUAGUAGGUGGGGUAACGGCUCACCUAGGCGACGAUCCCUAGCUGGUCUGAGAGGAUGACCAGCCACACUGGAACUGAGACACGGUCCAGACUCCUACGGGAGGCAGCAGUGGGGAAUAUUGCACAAUGGGCGCAAGCCUAAUGCAGCCAUGCCGCGUGUAUGAAGAAGGCCUUCGGGUUGUAAAGUACUUUCAGCGGGGAGGAAGGGAGUAAAGUUAAUACCUUUGCUCAUUGACGUUACCCGCAGAAGAAGCACCGGCUAACUCCGUGCCAGCAGCCGCGGUAAUACGGAGGGUGCAAGCGUUAAUCGGAAUUACUGGGCGUAAAGCGCACGCAGGCGGUUUGUUAAGUCAGAUGUGAAAUCCCCGGGCUCAACCUGGGAACUGCAUCUGAUACUGGCAAGCUUGAGUCUCGUAGAGGGGGGUAGAAUUCCAGGUGUAGCGGUGAAAUGCGUAGAGAUCUGGAGGAAUACCGGUGGCGAAGGCGGCCCCCUGGACGAAGACUGACGCUCAGGUGCGAAAGCGUGGGGAGCAAACAGGACUAGAUACCCUGGUAGU
rnacentral:rRNA from 1 species